UGCUCCCUACGGGGCGCAGCAGUGAGGAAUAUUGGUCAAUGGGCGGGAGCCUGAACCAGCCAAGUCGCGUGAGGGAAGACGGUCCUAUGGAUUGUAAACCUCUUUAGGCGGGGAGCAAUGCCGGGCACGCGUGUCCGGAGGGAGAGUACCCGCAGAAUAAGCAUCGGCUAACUCCGUGCCAGCAGCCGCGGUAAUACGGAGGAUGCGAGCGUUAUCCGGAUUUAUUGGGUUUAAAGGGUGCGCAGGCGGCGUGUCAAGUCAGCGGUAAAAUGUCGGGGCUCAACCCCGGCCGGCCGUUGAGACUG
rnacentral:rRNA from 1 species